UACGUAGGCAGCAAGCGUUGUUCGGAGUUACUGGGCGUAAAGGGUGCGUAGGCGGCUUUUUAAGUUUGGUGUGAAAUCUCCCGGCUCAACUGGGAGGGUGCGCCGAAUACUGAGAGGCUAGAGUGUGGGAGAGGAAAGUGGAAUUCCUGGUGUAGCGGUGAAAUGCGUAGAUAUCAGGAGGAACUCCGGUGGUGUAAACGGCUUUCUGGACCAUUACUGACGCUGAUGCGCGAAAGCGUGGGUAGCAAACAGG
rnacentral:rRNA from 1 species